AUUGAACGCUGGCGGCAUGCUUUACACAUGCAAGUCGAACGGCAGCGGGGCAGUGCUUGCACUACUGUCCGGCGAGUGGCGAACGGGUGAGUAAUAUAUCGGAACGUACCGAGUAAUGGGGGAUAACCAAUCGAAAGAUUGGCUAAUACCGCAUACGUCCUACGGGAGAAAGCGGGGGAUCGCAAGACCUCGCGUUAUUCGAGCGGCCGAUAACUGAUUAGCUAGUUGGUGGGGUAAAGGCCUACCAAGGCGACGAUCAGUAGCGGGUCUGAGAGGACGAUCCGCCACACUGGGACUGAGACACGGCCCAGACUCCUACGGGAGGCAGCAGUGGGGAAUUUUGGACAAUGGGGGCAACCCUGAUCCAGCCAUGCCGCGUGUAUGAAGAAGGCCUUCGGGUUGUAAAGUACUUUUGUUAGGGAAGAAAAGGGAAGUGCUAAUACCACUUUUUGCUGACGGUACCUAAAGAAUAAGCACCGGCUAACUACGUGCCAGCAGCCGCGGUAAUACGUAGGGUGCGAGCGUUAAUCGGAAUUACUGGGCGUAAAGCGAGCGCAGACGGUUAUUUAAGCAGGAUGUGAAAUCCCCGGGCUUAACCUGGGAACUGCGUUCUGAACUGGAUAGCUAGAGUGUGUCAGAGGGGGGUAGAAUUCCACGUGUAGCAGUGAAAUGCGUAGAGAUGUGGAGGAAUACCGAUGGCGAAGGCAGCCCCCUGGGAUAACACUGACGUUCAUGCUCGAGAGCGUGGGUAGCAAACAGG
rnacentral:rRNA from 1 species